rnacentral:rRNA from 1 species
GAGCGUGACGGCGCGAGCAGGUGCGAAAGCAGGUCAUAGUGAUCCGGUGGUUCUGAAUGGAAGGGCCAUCGCUCAACGGAUAAAAGGUACUCCGGGGAUAACAGGCUGAUACCGCCCAAGAGUUCAUAUCGACGGCGGUGUUUGGCACCUCGAUGUCGGCUCAUCACAUCCUGGGGCUGAAGUAGGUCCCAAGGGUAUGGCUGUUCGCCAUUUAAAGUGGUACGCGAGCUGGGUUUAGAACGUCGUGAGACAGUUCGGUCCCUAUCUGCCGUGGGCGCUGGAGAACUGAGGGGGGCUGCUCCUAGUACGAGAGGACCGGAGUGGACGCAUCACUGGUGUUCGGGUUGUCAUGCCAAUGGCACUGCCCGGUAGCUAAAUGCGGAAGAGAUAAGUGCUGAAAGCAUCUAAGCACGAAACUUGCC